ensembl:lncRNA
AGCGUCGCAAGCCACGGCAGAAGGACAGACCCGACAGGAAGCUGCCUCUGUGGGCUGGCCAAGCUGAGAUCCCUAAAUGGAACUUUCUGGAGGGUCCCUCAAGUACCUUUUCUAGGUCCAUCUGCUGCUGCUGCUGCUGCUAAGUCACUUCAGUCGUGUCCAACUCUGUGCGACCCCAUAGACGGCAGCCCACGAGGCUUCCCCAUCCCUGGGAUUCUCCAGGACCAAUAACAAACCAUGGACUGUUGAGGUGACAUCACCAAGAUGGCAGCGGGGUAGUUCCUGACUUCACUCUCCCUUGAAAGAAGAACAACUAACAAGUAUUCAUGGACGAGAUACCAA